CCUACGGGUGGCAGCAGUGAGGAAUAUUGGUCAAUGGGCGGAAGCCUGAACCAGCCAAGUAGCGUGCGGGAUGAAGGCCCUACGGGUCGUAAACCGCUUUUGCACGGGGAUAACACCCUCCACUUGAGGAGGACUGCAGGUACCGUGCGAAUAAGGGCCGGCGAAUUACGCGCCAGCAGCCGCGGUAAUACGGAAGGCCAGAGCGUUAACCGGAUUCAUUGGGCUUAACGGGGGCGUAGGCGGGCGUCAAAGCCAGCUGUAAAGUCGCGGGGCUCAACCGCGCACCGCAGUUGAAACUGGACGCCUUGAGUUCAGGAGAGGCAGGCGGAAUUCGUGGUGUAGCGGUGAAAUGCGUAGAUAUCGGGAGGAACACUCGUGGCGAAGGCGGGUUCCUGGACUUUAACUGACGCUGAGGCACGAAGGCGAGGGGAGCAAAAGGGAUUAGAUACCCUAGUAGUC
rnacentral:rRNA from 1 species